UCAAGAACUAUGCCAGAAAAGAUUAUGUUUUGUCCUAUAACCCCAAACCUCCACUCUCACAAUGUUUAUACAACUAUCAAUGUAUUCAAUGUAUAAGAACUAGAACAACACUGGAUAGGUUCAUGUUACUGUAAGUAACAGUUUUUUGUUUAUUUACAUUUGCCAAUCAAGAGGUCCCAGGUUAUAUUGUCAUUAUAUAAUACAGUGCAGGAUAAUGAGGUCAACAACACAAACGCCUUCGACCUACACAAUAUUUGUUAAGAUUGUGUCGUCUCUCGUCCAGCAAAUAUUCAAUACAAAACCACACUAACAGGAAUAUAUGAAGAACUUCUGUUAGUAAACUUAUUGCAUGUGAUUGUUAACUCUCACAAACGUGAACAUUUGAAACUUUUCUUAGACACAGUCUGCAAAUGGCAAAUGGCAGUUGACAUGUUGGUACUACUGGGCUCUUCAUAAAGUAGAUCACCUUUUGGCCCGAGUUGUGUGUUUGUUCAGAGAAACAGAGAAACGCCCUCUGUUUCCCGCUCAACACACACACAGGUUCAAAAACCCCCAGGUCAACCUGUGACUCAAUAAAUAAACCCUUUCAGGACAAACCACACCAGUACUUUCAUCCUCUGCAGAGGAACUGUGUCAUCACUGCCACCAUCAGAGACAACCUUUGACGCUUGCUUCAGAUUCAGAUUUCAGAUUGACCCAUCCAGCUGGUGGUGCAGUACUAUCACAAGGGAUCUUUCUUGUUAGAAACCUGUUGUCAUGGCGAAGAUAAUUCAUGUCCUGGCUCCUCUUCUUCUGCUAUUGGCUGUGGGUGUCCAGUCCGUGUCAACCCAACAAGUCAUCGACAAUUUAAAUGGUUUGACUGCAUUCAGAAGUCAACAACACCAUGGCUAUGUGCUGCUCCAGUGGUAUGUGAAUACUUGUUUAAACAAUGACAUGACCCUACAAACGACUUGUACCUCUCAAAACAGGUAUUAUACCAAUUACGGUUUUCAUGUAUUCUACAAUAAUGGAAGUCCAGACCACCCCAGUAUUCUGCCUGCCCUGACUAGAGGUUACAGGUACGACACGGUCGGAAACCUACAUUUGGGUCUUCUACUGCCUCAUGCAGUGACCAGGUUUUACUUAGAACACAAUCGGAAUCCAAUCUUCAACAGGGACAGGCUGGUGAUGAGUUAUAACCCCAGCACCAACACCGUUGACCAGAUCUACAUCACAGAUCACUAUAGUCGAACCAAUACAUUCAGAGUCGGCCCCAACCUGAUCAAUGCCCUCAGGAGACUUGGACCUCUGAAUCGAUGAAGAUCUUACUACUUCAAGCCUGCCACUGUGCUAAGAAACAGACAGUUCACCACAGUGAUUGUACGAAUCAUAUUUGUUCAUUAAACAUCUGAAGUGGAUCAGA